UGGUCAAGCGGUUAAGACACCACCCUUUCACGGUGGUAUCAGGGGUUCAAAUCCCCUUGGAGUCA
rnacentral:tRNA from 1 species